rnacentral:rRNA from 1 species
GAUGAACGCUGGCGGCGUGCCUAACACAUGCAAGUCGAGCGAACAGACGAGGAGCUUGCCCCUUUGACGUUAGCGGCGGACGGGUGAGUAACACGUGGAUAACCUACCUAUAAGACUGGGAUAACUUCGGGAAACCGGAGCUAAUACCGGAUAAUAUAUUGAACCGCAUGGUUCAAUAGUGAAUGACGGUUUUGGUGUAACUAAUAGAUGGAUCCGCGCUGCAUUAGCUAGUUGGUAAGGUAACGGCUUACCAAGGCAACGAUGCGUAGCCGAGCUGAGAGGGUGAUCGGCCACACUAGAACUGAGACACGGUCCAGGCUACGACGGGAGGCAGCAGUAGGGAAUAUUGCACAAUGGGCGAAAGCGUGACAGAGCAACGCCGCGUGGGAGAUGAAGGUCUUCGGAUCGUAAAGCUCUGUUAUUAGUGAAGAACAAAUGUGUCAGUAUCUAGGGACGUUUUGACGGUACCUAAUCAGAAAGCAACGGCUAACUACGUG